rnacentral:rRNA from 1 species
UGGGCUUACACAUGCAAGUCGCGGAGCAUCAUGGAGGUUGCUUGCAAUUUCUGAUGGCGACCGGCGCACGGGUGAGUAACGCGUAUCCAACCUUCCCAUUACUACGGCAUACCGCGUUGAAAGGCGGCCUAAUUCCGUAUGCAGUCCGAAGCAGUCAUCUAAUUUGGACGAAAGGUAUAUUCUAUCGGUAAUGGAUGGAAAUGCGUCCGAUUAGCCAGCCGGCGGGGUAACGGCCCACCGGGGCAUUGAUCGGUAGGGGUUCUGAGAGGAAGGUCCUCCACACUGGAACUGAGACACGGUCCAGACUCCUACGGGAGGCAGCAGUGAGGAAUAUUGGUCAAUGGGCGUAA